rnacentral:rRNA from 1 species
CAGUAAGGAAUAUUGGACAAUGGAGGCAACUCUGAUCCAGCCAUGCCGCGUGAAGGAAUAAGGCCCUAUGGGUUGUAAACUUCUUUUAGACGGGACAAAACCCCUUUACGUGUAAAGGGUUGAUGGUACUGUCAGAAUAAGCAUCGGCUAACUUCGUGCCAGCAGCCGCGGUAAUACGAAGGAUGCAAGCGUUAUCCGGAAUUAUUGGGUUUAAAGGGUGCGUAGGCGGACUAAUAAGUCAGUGGUGAAAGCCUGCAGCUUAACUGCAGAAUUGCCAUUGAUACUGUUAGUCUUGAGUACAGUUGAGGUAGGCGGAAUGUGUCAUGUAGCGGUGAAAUGCUUAGAUAUGACACAGAACACCGAUUGCGAAGGCAGCUUGCUAAGCUGUAACUGACGCUGAGGCACGAAAGCGUGGGGAGCAAACA